rnacentral:lncRNA from 1 species
UUUUGCCUUCUCCAUAAUUCUACUUCUUUUAAUAAAUUGCAAUUACCUCUCUAAACAAUUAAAACACUCUUAAUUUGACUUUCGCACCGUUAGUGAUGUCACUGAUGAUAAGUUCAAUUUACCCAAGGUGUGAACAUCUCUCAACGUUUUAGAUUGAAACGUUUAUUUUAUUAAAAAAGAAAGAAAAAUAAUCGUCACCAGACGAAGCCAUGGAAAUUACGAGCCACCAAUUAAAAAAAAAAAUGGGCUACUCGCACUUGAAAAUUCUUCUCGAGUAAAAACACUACCAAUUAUUGAACUAUUUUGUUAAUUUGUUUUUCAUUCGGCACACCAGUAAACGGGC